UGAGGAAUAUUGGGCAAUGGACGCAAGUCUGACCCAGCCAUGCCGCGUGAGUGAAGAAGGUUUUCGGAUUGUAAAGCUCUUUCGGAUGUGACGAUGAUGACGGUAACAUCUAAAGAAGCCCCGGCAAACUUCGUGCCAGCAGCCGCGGUAAUACGAAGGGGGCGAGCGUUGUUCGGAAUUACUGGGCGUAAAGGGCGCGUAGGCGGCCUGGUAAGCUUGGAGUGAAAGUCCUAUUUUUAAGGUGGGAAUUGCUUUGAAAACUGCUGGGCUUGAGUGCAGGAGAGGUUAGUGGAAUUCCCGGUGUAGCGGUGAAAUGCGUAGAGAUCGGGAGGAACACCAGUGGCGAAGGCGACUAACUGGACUGUAACUGACGCUGAGGCGCGAAAGUGUGGGGAGCAAACA
rnacentral:rRNA from 1 species